rnacentral:rRNA from 1 species
GGUUCAGGAUGAACGCUAGCUACAGGCUUAACACAUGCAAGUCAGGGGCAGCAUUGAGAUAGCUUGCUAUUUCAGAUGGCGACCGGCGCACGGGUGAGUAACGCGUAUCCAACUUCCCCUUAGUAGAGGAUAGCCCGGCGAAAGUCGGAUUAAUACUCUAUGUUGUAUUUUUGAGGACAUCUGACGAAUACCAAAGAUUCAUCGCUAAGGGAUGGGGAUGCGUCUGAUUAGGUUGUUGGCGGGGUAACGGCCCACCAAGCCGACGAUCAGUAGGGGUUCUGAGAGGAAGGUCCCCCACAUUGGUACUGAGACACGGACCAAACUCCUACGGGAGGCAGCAGUGAGGAAUAUUGGUCAAUGGGCGCGAGCCUGAACCAGCCAAGUAAGCGUGCAGGAAGACUGCCCUAUGGGUUGUAAACUGCUUUUAUAGGGGAAUAAAGUGAGGGACGUGUCCCUUUUUGUAUGUACCCUAUGAAUAAGGACCGGCUAAUUCCGUGCCAGCCGCCGC